rnacentral:lncRNA from 1 species
GUACUGAAAUAACAAAAACUUAAAACUAUUUAGACAUAUUAAAAAAAAACACUAAAACUUUAACUAAAAUAAAUAUGAAAAACAAGACAAUAUAUUAAAAAACAUUUUUAAAAGACUACAACAAAAUCUCAGGGAUGCUGUAAUAACACUGGGAGGAGGAGAAAUUACAUAUUGAUUAUUUAGCAAAUAAUUUUAAGUCAUGUUAGAGUUUUUGAGGCCCCCUAGUUGAGAAGCACUCAACAUUGCUCAUAAGCUGUAAACUGUAUAUAUACUGUAGUUUAACAAGAAAUGAUUAUUGAACUGUGCUUUCUGAAGCAGGAGCCACUGCGAGGUCCAGGAGCGAUCAGGAGACGUGAUUGGCCGGAGCGGCUGAGGGGAGGGACUUUGAGCGCUGGCGGUCAGUGGCGUCAUCCUCGGGGGCGGUCCUGGAGUCAUGUCGUCGCCCAGCACCUGUACGCCCAAGUGACGCCCCGUCAGAGGACUGCCGUGUUUGACCAACCUCCUGAACGUGCCCUUUGACCUCAGCUGCUACAGGUGCUGCUACAGGUGUGGGGUCACUCGAGGUCACGGCCGGCUCAGGGGGAGGGGUGUCUGAUUCUGCUGUUGCCACGGCGGCAGGUGUGGGGCUGGUGGGCGUGGCUUUAGCAGAAGAGCGAUGCUUGAUGAAGAAGCCGCUCAGUUGAGAAUCUCUCGGGGUCCAACAAUUAUGAAUAUACAGUAAUGAGAUAAAACGAUUAUUGCGUGCACUUUCACUCCUCCAUAAAAGCUCAAUUUCACGUACAAAUCAGUAAAAUCUUGUAACGUGACUCUGUGCUUGAUUUAUCAAAGUUGAUUAGAUUUAUUCAUUUUUUUUAAAAGUGUGAAGCAGAGCACGGACGAGUAAAGUCAACUUUUAGCUUAACGGUCAAAUACACGCAAAAAUGUGUCAGAAUGGGGCACUUGGUGAUUAUUAUUCACGUAAACCCUCAUCCGUUAUGUCUUAAGUGAACAUAAACAGCUGAGAAUGAAAUACAUGCAUAACAGUGCAUCGGAUCAAUGCAGCUCUUAAAGUGACAGCAGCCUAAUAUUCCUUCUGCGGACUGUGUGCUUCAUAUUAAUCAAACAACAAAAUCUCUCACUGCUCUCCGCUGAAGGACUUUGUAGCUUUAAUAAGGAACAGAGGAAGUUUAAUUCUUACAGUGAAGACUGUGCUGUUUAAUUUUACGUUCAAUUAUUAGAUUUCUGUAGUAGCUGUUCGCUGAAUACUUUAGACUUGCAUACAAAAAUUAAAGCUUAAAGCUUAAAGCUUCUUUUUUGUAUUGUAUUUAUCCUUUUUUGUUUUUAUUGUAUUACUGCCAGUUAAUUAUUUAGAAUAUUUUUUCAGGACUUUUUUUGUUCUUUUACCCUGGUAUUCUGCUGAGGUAUUGAGAAUUGUGACAUUUCUAAAAUGUAGAUGUCAUAGCAACCUUAUUUACAGAAAAUAUAUAUUUGAUAUAUACUGCUAUCUUUAGAUGAAUCACUCAUAUAAUUCCCAUCAAGUCAUGUCACAUGCAGUUUUAUAGCACUUUAUACAGUAAAAUAAAAAUAGUUUCAG